rnacentral:rRNA from 1 species
GACGAACGCUGGCGGCGUGCUUAACACAUGCCAGUCGAACGGAAAGGCCCUGCUUGCAGGGUGCUCGAGUGGCGAACGGGUGAGUAACACGUGGGUGAUCUGCCCCUUACUUUGGGAUAAGCCUGGGAAACUGGGUCUAAUACUGGAUAGGACCAUGCUGUAGGUGGUGUGGUUGAAAGAUUAGUUUCGGUAAGGGAUGAGCUCGCGGCCUAUCAGCUUGUUGGUGGGGUAAUGGCCUACCAAGGCGUCGACGGGUAGCCGGCCUGAGAGGGUGGACGGCCACAUUGGGAGUGAGAUACGGCGCAGACGCCUACGGGAGGCAGCAGUGGGGAAGAUUGCACAAUGGGCGCAAGCCGGAUGCAGCGACGCCGCGUGGGGGAUGACGGCCUUCGGGUUGUAAACUCCUUUCAGCCAUGACGAAGCCCUUGUGGUGACGGUAGUGGUAGAAGAAGCACCGGCUAACUACGUG